GCUCGAUCUCACAGACCGUGAGGUGACGGCCUGAGCUGAGGUCAAGAGUCCGACGCUUAACCGACUGAGCCACCCAGGCGCCCCAAGGCGGUUCAUUUUUUACUCACCUAGGUAAAGCAUGAUCAGCUGCUAGUUGUGAAAACUCGAGCGGUAUCUUUGUUCCCCCAGCCCCCACUCCCUCUCCCACCCUCUGGCUCUGGAAGACACCCGUGUCCCUAGAGCGGCCCAUGCUGGUUGGGCCUUUCUCCUGACUGCACUGUCCCUGGCUGUGGCAUUCCCCACCUCUUUGGCCCCCGAAUACCAUGAGACACACCGCUUUCUCUGCUCAGGCAGCAGGAGCGGUUUGGGCAUCCAUACCCUGGCAGUUGGAUUGUGGACCACCUUGUGUCUCUGAGUCUCCAUUUCCUCAACUGUGAAUGGGAUUAAAAUGCUUAUUUGGAGGGUGAGAUUAAAGUUAAUAUAGGGUGCGAGACCCAGAACAAAGGAGCCCGGCUGAGAUGCCACCAAAGAAGUGAUGUGGACACAGGAGGCUCCUUAAAAGUCAGGGACGCUGGAGCCAGGAGGCAGGUAAUGCCAGGGAGGCAGGGGCCGGUGGCAGCCUCCAGCUCUCCGUCCGGGUCUCCUUCCCUCCUAGAGGAGCUGGGACGAGGGGACAAAGGCACUCCUCGGUGUCCCAUGCAGCUGUUCUCUGGGAAAGCCAUAUUGACUUAUAAAUGACCAGAGCGGGUGUGGGGCAGCCUGGUGGGAGGGGUGGUGGGUGCAGGCCAGGGAGAGGCCUUGGGAAGGGCUGACGUGGGGGUGUCCUGGACGAGGCCAGCCCUGGGGGAUUCCUGGCUGGGCUAGUGGCCAGCGUUUCUGUACGUUUGCUCACUUGGUUUAGGGCAGACCACCCGGCUUCUAGAAAGUUUCCCUGCCUUUGGGUGGCCCGGGACCAAGCAGGGUUGGGUCAGGAAGCUCCAGGGGCCUCUAGAGCUGGGCACCUUCUGCCCAUUGUGGUGCUUCUCCAACUGGCAGCCUUCCCAGGGCUCUUCCCAGUGCUCGGCCCAAGAGCGCCUCAGGCCACACGGCCGCGUGGGGCCCUUCCUUCCCGCUCUCCCUUCACAACUGUCAGACCCGCAUCGUGGGCCCAUCCGAAGGCCCUCCCUGCCUUCUUCCCUCCCCCUUUAUCCUUCACAGGGAGUUCCCCAAUAAAUCUCUCCUACAUCUCAUCCCUUCUUGGCGUCUGUCACUCUGAGGACCUGAUGACGCACCCUCAACUUUUGUCUUGGCGGCCCCCCCCCCCGCCCCCGCGAGAGCAACUGCUUUGUCCCCUCUUUCUGGUGACGGUCAGCUUUCUCUUGGCUCUGGAAAAAUGACUGCCUGUCUCCAACCUCAUCCGUUCCAUUUCCAGCCGGACUCCGUUGUCUGUCUCUUGUACUGCUCUCCCGUCUCACGUGAGGAGCCACGGGUCCUGUUGACGGGGGCCGGGAAAUCAUGGCUCGGUCUUUGAGGGUAGAGGGGUGGAGGAGAAAGAAGUUGGUACCCCUAAAUCUGCAUAGGGCGGUGCAAACUUAUGGUUAUUUUCUAAAUAAGAGGGCUGCCCAUUUCAGAGUUUUUGGAUACGCCCCCUCCAGUGUGUCCCCUGGAAAUGUCCUACCUGCAUUCCCAAGGAGCAGGUGACGAGCCUACUGUCCCUGCUCUCGUCAGCACUUCCCGUUGCAUUUUUUAAAAGUUCUCACCAGUUUGGUAGCUCAAAAUACAGCAUCUCAUACUGGUUUAAUUUUAUAUUCCUUUUAAACAGUACGCGUGAACUGUAGUUCAUGGAUAUUGGACACUUACGUUCUCUUUUCCGAAUGGUCCGUGUCUUUCGCCGACUUUUCCUUUGCGGUGUUGGUCUCUUUCUUCUUGAUUUGUAAAGAUGGUGACCCUUCAUUUCCCAUAUAUGCUGCAUUAUUUCUAGCUUUCAAAUAUCAUCAGACGCACACGUUCCCUUAGAGGGAACGUCCUCUCCAUUCUGCUGUGGCCUCCGUCUACACUGCAGCCAGUCCGUCUUCAGAUCAGUAACCUUUGCUUAUUUUAUUCUGUCCUGUAGGAGAGUACUUACUUUGUCAGGCAUUGUAGUUGGCUUUGUUGACGGUCAUCAUCCCAUUCAGCGCUCCAACAAUACCACAAGGUGGUGGUAUGACCCGCAUUUUAUGGAUCGGGAUACGGAGGCCGGAGGGCAUCUGAUUCCAGGCCCUUGCUUAUUUCACAGAUCCACCAGAGCAUUUAGAUUGAUGCCAAUCACUAACCCAGAGCCUGGAGACCCAAAGAAACUGCCUUUCCUAAGAACCUCCCUGAGUCUGUGGGUGCCUGUCCAGGCCCUCGCUUAAGGAGCCUUCCUGCUUUCUUCACGGAGAGUUCCAGGGCUUCAGAGGCUUGAAGCUGCGUGUAAAAGUGUGUUUAUACCGUUUUCUUGGGAGAGGAUCCAGAGGUGACAUCAGGCUCUCAACCACAAAAACAGUGAAACAUAAAAAGUAGGGGGGGGGCUCCAUUUUGUGUUCUCUCCGGUGGUUCCCCAACUUUUUUUCUUACCUCGGAGGCAUAUAGAAUUCUCAAAAGAAUAUGAGGAUGUAAAAUUCUGCAAAGUAAGCCCAUUAAAAAGAAACUAACCACUAUCACAACAUUCUCAUAUUAUAAAAGGACAUUUUAACCACCUCCCCAACCAAAUCAAGGACAAAUUCUUGGGAGGGGGGUAGUGACAGGCCUUGAAGUAGAUAAAGGGGCUGUAACACACUGUCCUCCUGGUCCCUUGUUGUGCUCUUUUGUCCUUGACGGAAAGUGGCAGUAUGGCUCUGCCUUUGGAAAGCUCCCUCUGCACCUUCUGCACAGAGAGGCAGCUGCUUAGAGCCUGUGUCCUGGAAGCUGCAGACAGUUCUCCCGAAAGGCACCUGCUGGAGCUGGCGGGGCAUGCGCCCUGUGGGGUUCCCGGGGGGUGUUUCCUGGGCUUUCCAGGUGGGGAUGAACACGGGUGUGUUUAUGAGUUUCACAAAGGGAGGUCACGUGCUUGUCCGUUGGGCUCAAUUUUCCCUCAAGGGUUUUGGGAGAGGCCCUGAGCGGCUGGAACAACUUGCUGUCCCCAACCCCUUUGGAAGGGAGACCCUGGUGGGGGAGGGGGGGCCGUGGAGGCCACGAGAGCGCGUAUGUGGGGGCCAUGCACGAGGACCCCACUCCCUCCCGGUUGCCUGCGUCCCUCCCUCCCUCCCGCACUAGGCUACUGCAUUCCAGACAGGCCCUCGUCCCUCCCGCCUUGGAUGCCAGCAGGUCAGCGUCAGUGCACUGGCUGGUGUUCUCUCCGCCCCCUCCCCAGGCCCCUUCUCUCCUUGGCUGAGGACAGGCAGGAGGACCUGGCUUCAUACAGAGAUUUUUCCAGGGAAGGUUCGCUGAGAAGGAAAGUUGGCUCCCCCACCAGGAGCGGGUCUCCUGAGAGCAGUGAGCUGUGGCCCCGGGUCCUUAUGUCUCCAGGAGUGAUUCCUGAGCCAACAGGUACUGUUGGGCAGCCGAUACGUGCCUGACAAACUGCUUCAACCGUUCCAACCUCAGUUUCCCGUUUUCUAAAUGGAGCUAAUGCUCCCCUGACCCUUGAUGCCCCCUCUGAGCUCUGGCAGGAUUCCCCAACUGUCUGCACAAUUGGAGGCAGGACAGGCAUCGGCGCAUGAGCGGGACCCCUUUGCGAUGCUGCUGCACCCGGUGUGUCUGCAGGUGCUCCCUCAUUAGGUCCCACGGAAGCACGCAUGUGAUCCGAAACCCUGAUUUAGCUGCUAGCGUGUCAGGGUCACCGGGCACUUGGAGGAGCAGCUGGUCCCUCAAGGUCACUUAGCAAGUAAGGACGUAGCAGCCCACCCACGCGUCUGUUCUGGGAGGGCUUCGGGAAUGCUGUUCAACCCCCAUGGUACGAAGAAGGGCCCUUUUGCCCAGUUUUGUCGAUACGACAAAGACAAUAAACGAAUACUUUUUAGAAAUAGUCGAGGGGGACAUAAUUAGGGAAGAAACGACCGGAAUGUCUAUAUCGCUGAGCCUUCGCAAGGAAAUCCCUAAUAUUAUUUUCAGAUACGCUACAAUGAUAGUUGAGAAUAAGCUACUGUAUGACCUGGCUGGGGCCCCUGCAGCACCUGCCUUGAGUACCAGGCAAGAGUCACAGGACUCACUCAUAGUUUAUAAGCUAAUUUGCACAGUUUGCUUCAUAAGCACAUCUGUACAGUUUUAAAUGGUUUCCAAAGGACUUGAAAGCAGUUUGGGUUCUUAACAAAGUGAUGGAAUCCCCUGCCAUCUCGUCUGCCCUGGGAACUGGCUCUGCAGACCGUAGUUUUGUUUUGUUUUUGAAAUCACGAACAGAUGUUGAUGUUUAGACUGCCGGCUCCAGUUAAACACAGGCUUUUCUGCUUCUCCUCUGCCCACCUUGCUCUGUCAGGGGUGGGGGGGGGGGCUCUUGCCGGGCUGGAGUCCUGUCCCCCGGGCCCCCUCCCUUGAGCUGCCUCCAGCGAGGCAGGGAGUCUCCUGGGAGGGGGAGGGACAGCCUGUGGGAAGGAAGAGAGUGGGGUCAGCGUGCCCAGGACGAUGCCCCGCUCAGAGAGAGGCUCGGCCCAUGCACGCGCCCUGCUUUUCCUUCGGGCUCCCUAGAAUUCCCCAUCCAGCCUUCCUUACCCUCUUCUGCUCCAGAGGACGGCCAAGGGAGCUGAGGGUAUGGCUCGAGAGAGACAGAGCAUGAACGGGGGAGGGGCAGAGAGAGAGGGAGAAACAGAAUCGGA